AUUGAACGCUGGCGGAAUGCUUUACACAUGCAAGUCGAACGGCAGCAUAGGUGCUUGCACCUGAUGGCGAGUGGCGAACGGGUGAGUAAUACAUCGGAACGUGCCCAGUCGUGGGGGAUAACGUAGCGAAAGUUACGCUAAUACCGCAUACGAUCUAAGGAUGAAAGCGGGGGACCGUAAGGCCUCGCGCGAUUGGAGCGGCCGAUGUCAGAUUAGGUAGUUGGUGGGGUAAAGGCUCACCAAGCCGACGAUCUGUAGCUGGUCUGAGAGGACGACCAGCCACACUGGGACUGAGACACGGCCCAGACUCCUACGGGAGGCAGCAGUGGGGAAUUUUGGACAAUGGACGCAAGUCUGAUCCAGCCAUUCCGCGUGCAGGACGAAGGCCUUCGGGUUGUAAACUGCUUUUGUACGGAACGAAAAAGCUCUUACUAAUACUAGGAGUCCAUGACGGUACCGUAAGAAUAAGCACCGGCUAACUACGUG
rnacentral:rRNA from 1 species